UACGUAGGCAGCAAGCGUUGUUCGGAGUUACUGGGCUUAAAGGGUGCGUAGGCGGCGCAGAAAGUAGGGUGUGAAAUCCCUCGGCUCAACCGAGGAACUGCGCCCUAAACUACUGUGCUCGAGGGAGGUAGAGGUGAGCGGAACUUAGGGUGGAGCGGUGAAAUGCGUUGAUAUCCUAAGGAACACCGGUGGCGAAAGCGGCUCACUGGACCUCUUCUGACGCUGAGGCACGAAAGCUAGGGUAGCGAACGGG
rnacentral:rRNA from 1 species